UAGAGUUUGAUCAUGGCUCAGAUUGAACGCUGGCGGCAGGCCUAACACAUGCAAGUCGAGCGGUAACAGGAAUUAGCUUGCUAAUUCGCUGACGAGCGGCGGACGGGUGAGUAAUGCCUGGGAAUAUGCCUUAGUGUGGGGGAUAACUAUUGGAAACGAUAGCUAAUACCGCAUAAUGUCUUCGGACCAAAGAGGGGGAUCUUCGGACCUCUCGCGCUAAGAUUAGCCCAGGUGAGAUUAGCUUGUUGGUGAGGUAAGAGCUCACCAAGGCGACGAUCUCUAGCUGGUCUGAGAGGAUGAUCAGCCACACUGGAACUGAGACACGGUCCAGACUCCUACGGGAGGCAGCAGUGGGGAAUAUUGCACAAUGGGCGAAAGCCUGAUGCAGCCAUGCCGCGUGUAUGAAGAAGGCCUUCGGGUUGUAAAGUACUUUCAGUCGUGAGGAAGGGUGUGUAGUUAAUAGCUGCACAUCUUGACGUUAGCGACAGAAGAAGCACCGGCUAACUCCGUGCCAGCAGCCGCGGUAAUACGGAGGGUGCGAGCGUUAAUCGGAAUUACUGGGCGUAAAGCGCAUGCAGGUGGUUCAUUAAGUCAGAUGUGAAAGCCCGGGGCUCAACCUCGAAACCGCAUUUGAAACUGGUGAACUAGAGUGCUGUAGAGGGGGGUAGAAUUUCA
rnacentral:rRNA from 1 species